rnacentral:lncRNA from 1 species
UAAACUGCUGAGCGGCCCUCUAGGUGUUCUUUGCUGGGGCAGGGGAGUUAGCAGGGAGGAAGUGGAGAGAACUGGGAGAGUUGAGACCCUCCUUCUGAGCGUUAAGCUGCAUGUAGAUAAUAUCUGCAGGUGUGGCACAAUUGAAAAGGCAGUGGCUUUCAGGCUAGUCACUGCACGGACUAGUAAGGCAGCUCUCUUGCUCCCAGCACCGUGCAUCUGAUUCUCCGUUCUCAGGUGCAGGCUAGUAACAUGAGGCAGGAACGUUCUCAGGACACUAGGCACUGCAGUUGCACCUCCUCAUCAGCCAUCUGACCAGCAACAGACACUACACUGUGUGGCUUAGCUAUGGUGCUCAGUAGAUAAAGUAUCCAAAUGACAUUUUAAACUUAUGAUGGCUUUAAGGUCAGCAUGCUGAUCAGAUGAAAAACACUGGACUUACUUCAAACAGACUAUGAGACAUGAAUCGUUAGACAGGACAGAUUCUUGACACCUCUACUCCACCAUCAUUCUAGCUUGCAUUAGUUUGAAAUGUUACUGACUUCAUACAUAGUGCUAAUUUAUUCUUCAGCACUCCUAAAUAUUAUAUGUAUUAUCUCCAAUAGGAUGUCAAAAAUGCCUGCAGAUAUGACCAAAAGGCAGAUAUGACCAAAAGGCAGAUAUGACCAAAAGGCAGAACUUCAGUCCAAAGUGAUACUAUCUGUCGCUUGAACUUGGGGAUAAGUUGAUAAUGCUGUAGAUUCUUGGCCUGUAUUUAAUCUGCUUCAUCGGCUCAACAUUGUUGCUUGUCAACAGAUCACUCAGAAGAGGAUCAGCUGCUGAUCAUACGUCUGACUCAGCUAUAUCUCAUUGCUAUGGCUCUUGGCCACAAGAUAUCUGACUCUGUGUCACCAGCCUAACAGAAGAUCACAUUGUGCUGCCAAAGCACAGAACACACCCAGCUUCUUGGAUUUCAUCUGUCUUGCAUUUCCUUAUGUAUCAGUUACAGGAAAAGCAGCAACUGAAAUACAGCUCUCAAAUGCUCUGGAUGG